rnacentral:misc_RNA from 1 species
GAUGAAGAACGUAGCGAAAUGCGAUAAGUAAUGCGAAUUGCAGAAUUUCCGUGAGUCAUCGAAUCUUUGAACGCACAUUGCGCCCUUUGGUAUUCCGAGGGGCAUGCCUGUUCGAGCGUCAUUAUAACCCCUCAAGCUCAGCUUGGUGUUGGGGCCUGCUGCACUGGCAGCCCUUAAAAUCAGUGGCGGCGCCAUCUGGCUCUAAGCGUAGUAAUUCUUCUCGCUAUGGAGUCCUGGUGGAUGCUUGCCAUCAACCCCCAAUUUUUCUAUGGUUGACCUCGGAUCAGGUAGGGAUACCCGCUGAACUUAAGCAUAUCAAUAAGCGGAGGA